rnacentral:rRNA from 1 species
ACGAGAAUCUUUNCUUGCUAGAGAAAGUAAGUGGCGCACGGGUGAGUAACGCGUGGGUAAUCUGCCUCCGAAUCGGGGAUGGAUUGCGAAAGCGAUGCUAAUACCGGAUAAAAUCUGGUUGGCUUCGGUGAACCGGAUCAAAGGUGGUCUCUUUUAAAAAGCUACCGUUUGGAGAUGAGCUCGCGUACCAUUAGCUUGUUGGUGGGGUAAAGGCUCACCAAGGCGACGAUGGUUAGCUGGUCUGAGAGGAUGAUCAGCCACACCGGAACUGGAACACGGUCCGGACUCCUACGGGAGGCAGCAGUGAGGAAUUUUGCGCAAUGGGGGAAACCCUGACGCAGCAACGCCGCGUGAGUGAUGAAGGCUUUCGGGUCGUAAAGCUCUGUCAGGUGGGAAGAACCCACCAGGUGUAAACAUCACCUGGUGCUGACGGUACCACCGAAGGAAGCACCGGCUAACUCCGUGCCAGCAGCCGCGGUAAUACGGGGGGUGCGAGCGUUAUUCGGAAUCAUUGGGCGUAAAGGGCGCGCAGGCGGUUUUGUAAGUCAGAUGUGAAAUCCCGGGGCUUAACCCCGGAAGUGCAUAUGAAACUAUGAGACUUGAGUAUGGGAGAGGGAAGCGGAAUUCCUGGUGUAGCGGUGAAAUGCGUAGAUAUCAGGAGGAACACCGGUGGCGAAGGCGGCUUCCUGGACCAAUACUGACGCUGAGGCGCGAAGGCGUGGGGAGCGAACAGGAUUAGAUACCCUGGUAGUCCACGCAGUAAACGUUGACCCACUAGGUGUAGCGGGUAUUUGACCCCUGCUGUGCCGGAGUUAACGCAUUAAGUGAUCCGGCUUGGGAGUACGAACGCAAGAUUAAAACUCACAGGAAUUGACGGGGGCCCGCACAAGCGGUGGAGCAUGUGGUU